GGAAGUUACUUUGAUAUGUCGACAAUGCUUCUCUGCACCAAUGUUGAUUAUCAACUUUGGGAUUCAAAAGAAAUAAGGCGUUUUAUCUAUGGUGUGUUGCUCCAAAGGAUAGACCGGUUGUAUUCAAUCGACUGUAGAGCAAUCUUGGCAAUCUAAUCUAGUACUUGGAGGCUUUAGCUAGUCUUCCCGAUUAUUAUUCCUCCAAACUCCUUGGCUCUAACUCCUUCUUACUUCUU